rnacentral:rRNA from 1 species
AUGGACGGCGAGUGGUGGAGGAAGAAGUGGGUGGCGUGGGCGGCGGCGGCGGCCAUCUUCGUGGUGCUCAUGCUCGUCACGCCCGCCAUCCCGCAGGACGAGGACUACCACGACUUCGCCGACCAGCGCGACCUCUUCCUCGGGAUCCCUAACACAUUGAAUGUGCUCUCAAAUAUCCCUUUCCUCUUUGUUGGUCUCGCUGGGCUCAUCCUGUGCCACUACAAAAACUACUUCAGGCUAUGCUCACAGGGGGAGCUCUGGAGUUGGACACUCUUCUAUGCUGGUGUCACUGCUGUCGGUGUUGGUUCAUCCUACUACCAUCUCUACCCGAACGAUGCCACCUUAGUUUGGGACAGAUUGCCUAUGACGAUUGCUUUCACGUCUAUCGUGGCCAUUUUCAUCAUUGAAAGGGUUGAUGAUAGGGCAGGAACAAAGUCCCUUGCACCCCUUGUUAUUGCUGGUGCACUGAGCAUCCUGUACUGGAGUUUCUUUGAUGACCUUCGGCCAUAUGCGGUAAUCCAGUUUGUUCCAUGCAUUGUAAUACCUGUGAUGGCUAUAGUUAUUCCACCAAUGUAUACACAUUCAAGCUACUGGUUGUGGGCAGCAGGAUUUUACCUUCUUGCCAAAGUAGAAGAGGCAGCGGACAAACCUAUAUAUAGGUGGACACAUGACAUUGUUAGCGGACAUACUCUUAAACAUCUAUGUGCUGCGAUGGUUCCUGUUUUCUUGACUCUCAUGUUGGCAAAGAGGACAAUUGAACCUGACAGGGUAAGCUUACUCCAGAUGUGGAAGAUCAGUUGGAGAGAACGCGGUUCCCAAGAUGGCAACACUGUAGACGUCAAAUAUGAUUAUGCUGCAGUUUCAACUACGUCUGAACAACAGUAG